AGCUGAGCCAGAGACAGUCACAGAGGAACAAGAUCAAGAUGCGCUUUAACUGAGAAGCCCCCAAGGCAGAGGCUGAGAAUCAGAAGACAUUUCAGCAGACAUCUACAAAUCUGAAGGACAAAACAUGGUUCAAGCAUCUGGGCACAGGCGGUCCACCCGUGGCUCCAAAAUGGUCUCCUGGUCCGUGAUAGCAAAGAUCCAGGAAAUAUGAUGCGAGGAAGAUGAGAGGAAGAUGGCGCGAGAGUUCCUGGCCGAGUUCAUGAGCACAUAUGUCAUGAUGGUAUUCGGCCUUGGUUCCGUGGCCCAUAUGCUUCUAAAUAAAACAUUUGGGAGCUACCUUGGUGUCAACUUGGGUUUUGGCUUCGGAGUCACCAUGGGAGUGCACAUGGCAGGCCGCACCUCUGGAGCCCACAUGAACGCAGCUGUGAGCCUCACUAACUGUGCACUGGGCCGUGUGCCCUGGAGGAAGUUUCCAGUCUAUGUGCUGGGGCAGUUCCUGGGCUCCUUCCUGGCAGCUGCCACCAUCUACAGUCUCUUCUACACGGCCAUUCUCCACUUUUCGGGUGGAGAGCUGAUGGUGACCGGUCCCGUUGCUACAGUUGGCAUUUUUGCCACCUACCUUCCUGAUCACAUGACAUUGUGGCGGGGCUUCCUGAAUGAGGAGUGGCUGACCGGGAUGCUCCAGCUGUGUCUCUUCGCCAUCGUGGACCAGGAGAACAACCCAGCACUGCCAGGAACACACGCACUGGUGAUAGGCAUCCUCGUGGUCAUCAUCAGGGUGUACCAUGGCAUGAACACAGGAUAUGCCAUCAAUCCGUCCCGGGACCUGCCCCCCCGCAUCUUCACCUUCAUUGCUGGUUGGGGCAAACUGGUCUUCAGCGAUGGGGAGAACUUGUGGUGGGUGCCAGUGGUGGCACCACUUCUGGGUGCCUCUCUAGGUGGCAUCAUCUACCUGGUCUUCAUUGGCUCCACCAUCCCACGGGAGCCCCUGAAAUUGGAGGACUCUGUGGCAUAUGAAGACCACGGGAUAACCGUAUUGCCCAAGAUGGGAUCUCAUGAACCCAUGAUCUCUCCCCUUACCCUCAUCUCCGUGAGCCCUGCCAACAGAUCUUCAGUCCACCCUGCCCCACCCUUACAUGAAUCCAUGGCCCUAGAGCACUUCUAAGCAGAGAUUAUUUGUGAUCCCAUCCCUUCCCCAAUAAAGAGAAGCUUGUCCCACA